rnacentral:rRNA from 1 species
GAUGAACGCUGGCGGCGUGCUUAACACAUGCAAGUCGAACGGUGAAGGCGGAGCUUGCUCUGCUGGAUCAGUGGCGAACGGGUGAGUAACACGUGAGCAAUCUGCCCCUGACUCUGGGAUAAGCGCUGGAAACGGCGGCUAAUACGGGAUACGAGCUGCGAAGGCAUCUUCAGCAGCUGGAAAGAAUUUCGGUCAGGUAUGAUCUCGCGGCCUAUCAGCUUGUUGGUGAGGUAAUGGCUCACCAAGGCGUCGACGGGUAGCCGGCCUGAGAGGGUGACCGGCCACACUGGGACUGAGACACGGCCCAGACUCCUACGGGAGGCAGCAGUGGGGAAUACUGCACAAUGGGCGAAAGCCUGAUGCAGCAACGCCGCGUGAGGGAAGACGGCCUUCGGGUUGUAAACCUCUUUUAGCAGGGAAGAAGCGAAAGUGACGGUACCUGCAGAAAAAGCGCCGGCUAACUACGUG